UACGUAGGGGGCGAACGUUGUCCGGAAUUAUUGGGCGUAAAGCGCGCGCAGGCGGUCCUUUAAGUCUGAUGUGAAAGCCCACGGCUUAACCGUGGAGGGUCAUUGGAAACUGGUCGACUUGAGUGCAGAAGAGGGAAGUGGAAUUCCAUGUGUAGCGGUGAAAUGCGUAGAGAUAUGGAGGAACACCAGUGGCGAAGGCGGCUUCCUGGUCUGUAACUGACACUGAGGCGCGAAAGCGUGGGGAGCAAACAGGAUUAGAUACCCGUGUAGUCCCUGA
rnacentral:rRNA from 1 species